rnacentral:rRNA from 1 species
UACGUAGGGUGCGAGCGUUGUCCGGAAUUAUUGGGCGUAAAGAGCUCGUAGGCGGUGUGUCGCGUCGGCCGUGAAAACCUGCAGCUUAACUGUGGGCGUGCGGGCGAUACGGGCAGACUGGAGUACUGCAGGGGAGACUGGAAUUCCUGGUGUAGCGGUGGAAUGCGCAGAUAUCAGGAGGAACACCGGUGGCGAAGGCGGGUCUCUGGGCAGUAACUGACGCUGAGGAGCGAAAGCGUGGGGAGCAAACAGG